CCUGGAGCGCAGAGAGUCUGGGAGUCCAUUUGGAAAUCACGUGCUUUUCGCUUAGAGCGGCGGCUUCAGGCUCCCAAGGCCUCUUGUCCUGCAGCUAUCUAUGGAAUUGAAGCCAACAGAUCCCCCCUGCCUCCCAAGGGGGCUUCAAACCGUGACUUUCCCUUCCCUUCGUCAGGAGUGAAACGGAACUCCUGGCACCCGUUCCUUUUACAUGAAGCGGAAGCCCCGGAUGCUAAAUAACUGGGCAAACCAUCCACCUGCAACCCACUCACCCGCCCCCCUGCCAUCUGAACACAGCAGAAUGGACACAAGUAGCCCUGCAGCAUGGAACACAGUACGUCCUGCUUUGAUACCAGAUAUUUAUGGGCACUGCAAACAGGGCAGUCCUCCCACUGAAGUCAAUGGAGGUUUUUUGCCACUAGCAUCAAUGGGCGCAGAAAACAGACCGUGUAUAAAGAAAUUUGAAAAAGA